rnacentral:rRNA from 1 species
AUUGAACGCUGGCGGCAUGCCUUACACAUGCAAGUCGAACGGUAACAGGUCUUCGGAUGCUGACGGGUGGCGAACGGGUGAGUAAUACAUCGGAACGUGCCUAGUAGUGGGGGAUAACUACUCGAAAGAGUGGCUAAUACCGCAUGAGAUCUACGGAUGAAAGCAGGGGAUCGCAAGACCUUGUGCUACUAGAGCGGCCGAUGGCAGAUUAGGUAGUUGGUGGGAUAAAAGCUUACCAAGCCGACGAUCUGUAGCUGGUCUGAGAGGACGAUCAGCCACACUGGGACUGAGACACGGCCCAGACUCCUACGGGAGGCAGCAGUGGGGAAUUUUGGACAAUGGGCGCAAGCCUGAUCCAGCAAUGCCGCGUGCAGGAUGAAGGCCUUCGGGUUGUAAACUGCUUUUGUACGGAACGAAAAGCCCCGGGUUAAUACCCUGGGGUCAUGACGGUACCGUAAGAAUAAGCACCGGCUAACUACGUGCCAGCCGCCGCCGUAA